rnacentral:rRNA from 1 species
AUGCCACCUCCACCUCCUCCUUCCCCCUCCUGCCUGUCAUCUCUUCUUCCCCCUACCCUGUCUCGUUCGAUGCCGAUGUCGGCAUGUACGCCGCCGGCGCCGUCUGUCCCCGAGGUCGGCGACACCUCUUCUAUCUCCAUCUUUGAUGCAGAAGCCCCUCCGCCCGCCAUCUCCCCCUACCGCAUCUCAUCCGGCGCCGACAUCGGCAAGUACGUCACCGGCAUCGUCCGCCCCCUGAUUCAGCAAUGGCUCUCAUGCAGCAGCGCCGGCGCCCACCAGCUUCACCUCCUUCCCAUGGACGCGCUCCACGUCCGUCUAAUUCGAGUAUGA